UUUCAAAAGGUUUUUUUAUAUUUAGCCAAGUUUAUAAAUAAAAUAGAAGCUGUUUUGUGCAGCAAAUUCAGCUUUUCACUAAGAGUCUCUGGAUAUUAAAGUGUUAAUAUAAACAUACUAGUAGUUUCUGUUUUACUUAACAUUUUCCAUUGAAAGAAAAUUAUGUCAGUAAUCGUUUUUACCCAAAUUACAGAUAAAAAGUCUCAGUUUACAUUAUCCACCUGUGCUGGAUACGCCAAAUUUGUAUCAUUCUCAAACUGUAGUUGGGGGGCCGACCAAUUGUAAUCCCAAGGCCACAAAUGGCCCCGGGCCACACGUUGGAUACCCAUGGCCUAAUCAGUCAUCCAAGCAUUAGGUUCCGGAGAAUUCAUGAUGGCGUUUUCAUAAGCCGAAGAGGAAGGUUUUAGGGAAAAGUAUGAAAUGUUUGCAAAAACUAAAGAAUGAAGUUAACUGCUACACAACAGAAGAAAUAGUUAAAGGUGAUCUAUUAACAGAUUAGGAUAUGUCUGCGCUGUCAAUGUUAUUGUUUAAAUCCGGACAUUUUUGCGCAUGCGCACAACACUGAAGGGCAAAAAUACGAUUCUGUUACUUGCCAUCCAUAACCACACUGCUGCAGUAGAACAAUCCUGUUAACUAAAUAACACCUGGAGAUGGAGGUAUUAUUAAUCUAGUGCAGUGUGUCACAGCAAAGGGAAAAAAUAACGCAGAAAAAUUGUUGAAGAGCUCAAAACCAUUCAUAUGCUAUGCUACACACACCCUAUCGCCAUAGCAACUGACUGACUACUGCUCCACUAGUACAGUAUAUCAGGACUUAACACCAAAAAACACCCAAACAUUUCCCACACAACAAACAGAACAUUCAGUCCAUUACAGUUUUAUGUUUUUAGGAUUGAUGUUUAUUUUGUGAUUAUUGAUAAGUGAUCGUAUGAACUCAGCUCUGAUCUGUCAGAGAGUUGGUGUGAUGGUCGCCUUUGUUUUUGUUUUUUACUGAACCGAAAGACCCAAAAUUCUGCAAAGUCAAGCUAGCAUAACUGACCUACUUCCUUCUCACUCGUUAAUUUUACUUUUAUGAAAUUCCUGACUUUAUUUAGUUGUCAUAGUGUUGACGAUUAGUACCAAAGCACUCCGUCCCUUUUCCUUUUAUAUAUCACUCAUACAUUUAAGAUUUUGAUGGCUGCCACUGGACUCCUGAAGAGACAAUAUGUUGCAAACCCUCAACUGACCACAAUUAAACACCUGCAGUAGGACUUUCAGUUUCCACAGUAAGAAAGUAAGAUGUCUGAAGUCCAAGAUGUUUACUAUGAUCAACCCAAGGAAAGUCGACUUCAAUUUGUUCAAAAGUGAGAUAAGAUUCCUGCCAGAAGCCAUUGAGUGACAUUUAAAAGUAAUAUAGAUGCUUGUUGUGAAGGGGUUGAAUCACUUUGGUACAGCAGUAGUCAUUAAAGGUUGAGGUUUAUGUUUAAUUUGAAUUGUAAUGUAAAAUGCUUCUGGUUGACUUGUUCAUCCUAAAGCUGGUUGUAUGUUUGGGCAAUGAUAUUGAAUAUUUUAAGGUUCUAACGUAAUUGGAUGUAGCAGAAGUAAAGGUUGAUGUUUGGUGAGUUUGGCAGGUUUGUUGGAGUCUCUUGAAUAAAUAAUCACAGUUUUUUUCCCCCUCAGGUCUUUCCCACAUCGGAGAGGCUUGAUUCAUUAUGACAGCGCGUCUCUGGAGGGAAAUCUCAAAGGGUCUGACGGUCUUUCCCACAUCGGAGAGGCUUGAUUCAUUAGGACAGCGGGUCUCUGGAGGGAAAUCUCAAGGGGUCUUCUAAUGGUGCGAGUGACUGAAAAACACUCGGCAAGGAAAAACCUGAAGAAAGACAACACUUCCUUUUUUUCCUCCCUCUUUCAUUAAAAACAAAUGAGCUCUCCCUGUCAACAAAGUACCAUAAGCGCUCCACCAGCGCCACCAGCAGCAUCAGCAGCAGCCUGGGGAAUUCCCAUUAAAGGCGUUUGAGGCCGAAUCGGCGUACAAAUAGAUGCCGUGCUCCUGGGAAAUCACGGCAACAAGCAGAUACAUGUUAAAACUCGGGAGAGGCUUCCCCAAAAUCCAGAUGUGACUGUGGUUCGCCGGCCGCCCCGGCCAGUAAUGAACCAAUUAGACAGACAAUUAUGAACACCUGUGAUGCUGAUUGGCACGGCGCGGCCGCGUCUCCUUCCGCAGCGCUAAAGACGCACCGAAUGUUGCUAAAGUUAACCUUUAACAAGGCCUGUAAUGAUGACGAGGGGCCAAACACACACACACACACACACACACAGGAGGUUCGCAUUAGGAAGAGCAGCUCAUCCCACUCAGCUGCUUAUUGCGUCAUGUAUUAUUGAAGGCAGCUCUUGUAUAAACACAACUCCAAUAAAUUGGGGUCUCAGUUUUUCAGAUUCAUUAAGGUUAAUGCAGUUUUAAUUAGUGCUUGAUUUGAAGCCUAUUAGAGGCAAUUUAUAAGUCCUUCUUGUGGACCUGAGAAAUGACGUUGCGUGGGAUUAAUAUGAUAAAAGGCACAAGUUGGAGCUGCGGUCCCUGCUGGGUUGAAGGGAUUCCUCUCGUUUCGCUGUAACGGCUUGUUUAUUUGCACAACUGCUUUCAGGCACAUUAAAACAAUCUAAUGAAUGAGCAGCUUUGGCUUCAGGGAUUGCUUCAUCCACUGCUUGGACAAAUGAAACUGAAGUGAUUAGUGCUGAUUAGAAGAAUGCAGAAGAAAUGGAUUGAAACAGACAACGAGAUGUCCUUUAACCUUUCAGAGCAACUUUAUUCUCCAGGCGCUCAGGUCAGUUUGUCUUACAUUUAAAUCUGAGGUGUUUAACUUCUAUUAAAAAAAUUGUUUUUUACAUAUUUGUUAAAAGCGUUAUGUUGUGACAGCAAAAUAUGAGACAAAUUAUCAGUGAAAAGAUUGAUUUCCUCCACCUUCUCCCCACAAAAACAAACAAUCAGAGCCAGUAGGACUGUCUUAGUGCUGUCAAUCAACCUGUGAACAUGUUGCUAAAUGUCCUAAUGGUGGAGAAACAACUUAUUACAGGAAAAUUGUUUAUUUACCAUCAUCGGUGGCUAUGCAAUGAGCCUGAGCAUUGACAGUAGGGUACAUUAGCUGCAGCAUAGCAGGUAGCUACAGGCAGGGUGAUUGAUAGCGCUAAGACCCGCCUCCUGGCUCUGAUUGGUUGUUUCUAGUUAGCAUUGGGAGAAGGCAGAGGAGCUAAAACAUUUUCAUGGAUUAUCUGGGGAUAGUUUCAACAAAUAUAUAAAAAUUACAUCGUUUUAUAAAAAUGACUGCAGUUUUAAGGCAGGAGUGUCCAAACAUUUCACCCAGAGGACCAAAACUGACAACCUUGAACUUGUUGUGGGCCACAAAAUUAAGUUAAUUAAAAAUGAAAAAUAUUGUUCAUUGUGAUCAGUUGUUUGAACAAAAUUUUUUAUAAAAUCUGUAAAUCCAUUAAAUAUCCAAAACAUAAGUGGGUCUGGACUGUUUACUUAUUAAAUUAAAAACAUUAUUAUUUUUUUUUAUUUUUGGGUCAUCAAUUGUUUUUACCAGGCUUGAUAUAACUUCAACUGUACAAAAACACACAGCAGAUUCUGAAGAAAUAUAAAAAGGUGUGUAUGAAAAACUAAGUACACCCCAUAAUUCAAGAACCACUUUUACUGGCAAUAACUUGAAGUUAUAUGAUUCUAAAUACAGCUUCAAUAAAAUAAAUAUUAUUUAUUCCAAAGGGAGCUUGAAUGUAGUAACUCAUAUCUGUAUCUUCAUAGAGUUGUGAUGCUGUGGGCAGGAAGGAUCUCUGGUAGCAGUCAGUCUUACAACAGAUCUGAAGAGGUCUCUGACUGAAGAUGGUCUGAUCACAGCCCCAACAUGCUAACAGCUCAAUAUGCAGGUAGGAGAGACACCAAGCUCUGCUAAUCCACUUCAUUUGCUUGUGCUACCUUCUUUAAAGUCAGAAUUUUGAAAUUAAAGUCAAAAUUCUGAAAAGGUAGAAUUUUUUUUUUUCCAUAGUAAAGAUUGUCAUUACUGCUCCACAUAUUUUAAAAAGUGAAGUUAAACUAAAUUUUGCUUGCAAAUAGACAUUAUAUAUAUAUAUAUAUAUAUAUUUUUUUUUUGUUGAUAGAAACGUAAUAAUUUUGGUUUUCAUAUUGUAACUGUACUCCACAUCAAGCAGCUCAGUGCUGUUGCCGUUGAUGUAAAAUAAACCAAAUAUUCUCUUGAGGUUUAUUGAGUAAAAAGGUCCACUGCUAUUCAGAGUCUGGAAGCCGUAAAGUACAAGCAGAACACAAAUGCCCCACAAAACAGUUUGAUUGUCCUUUUCAGCAGGAGCAUGUUUAGCCCAGCUGGGCCACAUGGUGCUUUACUCUCUCAAAACAUGGAGGUGUAGAACGAACUGUUGUGGGCCACUCUGGAGUGGAGAUGGCCUGAAAUUACAGCAAGACGGAGGGGAGACGAACCGUUGACAGCAGGAGUCACAAUACAUUAGCAGAGCCUCCAACUGGCACACACACACAUACACACACCCACACACACACACACACUCACACACAUGCACGCCGUCAUGUUUUUGUAUCUUGUAGGGACUUUACAUUGACUUCCAUUCAUUUUCUAGAGGGUAACACUUACCCUAACCAUCACAUGAUUAACCUCUAACCCUCAUCAAAACUCAAUUCACACAUAAAUCCUAAACUUAACCCCAACCCCCAAAACAGCGAAAUGUCCCCACAAGAUGCAGUGUCCCCACCACCCCACAGUUAGACAGCAGUAGGUCCCCACAAAGAUAUAAAAACCGGGUUCACACACACACAUGUUUGCAUAGCUAUCUUUGUGGGGACCUUCCAUUGACUUCCAUUCAUUUCUACAGCCUAAACCUUACCCUUAUCCUAACCCUGUCCAUUACAUACCUAACCCAAACUCAACCAAAACCUCAACCCAAUUCACACCUUAGUCCUAAAUCUAACCUCUGACCCGAAAACAGAACUUCAGUCUAACCCCUAACCGAAACCUGUGGGGACCAGGCUUCGGUCCCCACAGGGAGCAGUGGGUCCUCACAACGUUGUAUGUGUCAGGAAAAUGGUUCCCACAAGGUAUUACAAACAAACGCAAACACACACACACACACACACACACACACACCAGAAUCUGGAUGAAUUGUUAACAUGCUGUCUGAACAUCACCCUCUCAUUUCUCCUCUUUCAAGCGGGAAAGCGGCGCCCCUGAAAAAGUUAGCAGGCAGGUGGAAGUCCUGUGUUUGGCUCGCAGGUUGCCGUGGCGACCUCCCAGCUUUCCAUGUUUGGAAAUUGCCACCAGGAGCGACUAAAACGCUCCCAUCUGCAAACUCGGGAGAGACCUGAGAUCAAUUUUGUUGCGUUUACUCCAGAGAGGCUCACAAUGGGAGUUCGCUGAAGAUCACUUUCCAGUUGGAUGUGAGCAAGACGGCGACGGUUCGCACGUCCCGCUGCCUCAUAUCUGUGUAACGUGAGCCGCGCAUUGCUUCAGUCUCAACACUGUUCCCCUAAACAGGAUUUAAUUUGCACAUGCAAGACAUGCACUCCUUUAUGGAGCAUAUUAAAGAUGAUGUUCAAACAUAUUAUCAAAUUUAACCCAAUUAUGUCUGUUUUCUUUUCAUUUUAUAGCCAUAAGCAGCGAAAGUUGACUUUUAAUCAAAGAGAGAAAAUAAAUCUUUACACUGU